rnacentral:rRNA from 1 species
CUGCUGCCUUCCGUAGGAGUUUGGACCGUGUCUCAGUACCAGUGUGGGGGACCUUCCUCUCAGAACCCCUACGCAUCGUCGCCUUGGUGGGCCGUUACCCCGCCAACUAGCUAAUGCGACGCAUGACCAUCCGUAGCCGGAAUCGCUUCCUUUAAACCCGAGGAGAUGCCUCCUCGGGUUGUUACGCGGUAUUAGACGGAAUUUCUUCCGCUUAUCCCCCUGCUACGGGCAGGUUUCAUACGUGUUACUCACCCGUGCGCCGGUCGCCGGCGGGAGUA